GACGAACGCUGGCGGCGUGCUUAACACAUGCAAGUCGAACGGAGUGGCGAACGGGUGAGUGACACGUGGGUGAUCUGCCUUGCACUUCGGGAUAAGCUUGGGAAACUGGGACUAAUACCGGAUAGUGCAAGAUGAGCUCGCGGCCUAUGAGCUUGUUGGUGGGGUAAUGGCCUACCAAGGCGUCGACGGGUCGCCGGCCUGAGAGGGUGUACGGCCACAUUGGGACUGAGAGACGGCCCAGACGCCUACGGGAGGCAGCAGUGGGGAAUAUUGCACAAUGGGCGGAAGCCUGAUGCAGCGACGCCGCGGGGGUGAUGAAGGCCUUCGGGGUGUAAACUCCUUUCGAUAGGGACGCGGUACCUGUAUAAGAAGCACCGGCUAACUACGUGCCAGCAGCCGCGGUAAUUC
rnacentral:rRNA from 1 species